rnacentral:rRNA from 1 species
CCUACGGGCGGCAGCAGUGGGGGAUAUUGCACAAUGGGGGGAACCCUGAAGCAGCGACGCCGCGUGAGCGAUGGAGUACUUCGGGAUGUAAAGCUCUGUCAGCAGGGAAGAAAAUGACGGUACCUGACCCAGAAGCCCCGGUUAAAUACGUGCCAGCAGCCGCGGUAACACGGAUGGGGCAAGCGUUAUCCGGAUUUACUGGGUGUAAAGGGAGCGUAGGCGGCUGGGCAAGCCUGAUGUGAAAGCCCGGGGCUCAACCCCGGGACUGCAUUGGGAACUGGCCUGCUUGAGUGCCGGAGGGGCAGGCGGAAUUCGUGGUGUAGCGGUGAAAUGCGUAGAUAUUAGGAGGAACUCCGGUGGCGAAGGCAGCCUACUGGAGGGUGACUGACGCUGAGGCUCGAAAGCGUGGGUAGCGAACAGGAUUAGAUACCCGGGUAGUC